GACGAACGCUGGCGGCGUGCUUAACACAUGCAAGUCGAACGGAAAGGCCCUGCUUUUGUGGGGUGCUCGAGUGGCGAACGGGUGAGUAACACGUGAGUAACCUGCCCUUGACUUUGGGAUAACUUCAGGAAACUGGGGCUAAUACCGGAUAGGAGCUCCUGCUGCAUGGUGGGGGUUGGAAAGUUUCGGCGGUUGGGGAUGGACUCGCGGCUUAUCAGCUUGUUGGUGGGGUAGUGGCUUACCAAGGCUUUGACGGGUAGCCGGCCUGAGAGGGUGACCGGCCACAUUGGGACGGAGAGACGGCCAAGACUCCUACGGGAGGCAGCAGGGGGGAAUAUUGCACAAUGGGCGGAAGCCUGAUGCAGCAACGCCGCGUGCGGGAUGACGGCCUUCGGGUUGUAAACCGCUUUCGCCUGUGACGAAGCGUGAGUGACGGUAAGGGGUAAAGAAGCACCGGCUAACUACG
rnacentral:rRNA from 1 species